UCUCCGUUGGUGAACCAGCGGAGGGAUCAUUACUGAGUUACCGCUCUACAACCCUUUGUGAACAUACCUAACUGUUGCUUCGGCGGGCAGAGGUCCCUCGCGGAUCUCUCCCGGCGACGCCCUCACGGGCGGAGCGCCCGCCGGAGGAUACCAAACUCUAUUUUAACGACGUUUCUUCUGAGUGGCACAAGCAAAUAAUUAAAACUUUUAACAACGGAUCUCUUGGUUCUG
rnacentral:misc_RNA from 1 species